rnacentral:SRP_RNA from 1 species
ACUGGGUGUGGUGGCGCAUGCCUGUAAUCCCAGCUACUCAGGAGGUUGAGGUGGGAGAAUUGCUUGAACCCGGGAGGCAGAGGCUGCAGUGAGCUGAGAUUGUGUCACUGCACUCCAGCCUGGGUGACAGAGCGAGACUCCAUCUCUA